GGGAAUCCGGUGCGAAUCCGGAACUGUCCCGCAACGGUGUACUCGCGUGCGUUCAUGCCCUUCGCGCACGCCUGUUGAGUCCGAGGACC
rnacentral:ncRNA from 2 species